GGAGGUGUGGCCGAGCGGUUUAAGGCACCGGUCUUGAAAACCGGCGAAGGAGCAAUCCUUCCGUGAGUUCGAAUCUCACCGCCUCCGCCA
rnacentral:tRNA from 3 species